rnacentral:rRNA from 1 species
GACGAACGCUGGCGGCGUGCCUAAUACAUGCAAGUCGAGCGGACAGAAGGGAGCUUGCUCCCGGAAGUUAGCGGCGGACGGGUGAGUAACACGUGGGCAACCUACCCUGUAGAUCGGGAUAACAUCGAGAAAUCGGUGCUAAUACCGGAUAAUCAUUUGAAGUGCAUGCUUCGAAUGUAAAAGAUGGCUCCGGCUAUCACUACGUGAUGGGCACGCGGCGCAUUAGCUAGUUGGUAAGGUAAUGGCUUACCAAGGCAACGAUGCGUAGCCGACCUGAGAGGGUGAUCGGCCACACUGGGACUGAGACACGGCCCAGACUCCUACGGGAGGCAGCAGUAGGGAAUCUUCCGCAAUGGACGAAAGUCUGACGGAGCAACGCCGCGUGAGUGAUGAAGGUUUUCGGAUCGUAAAGCUCUGUUGUUAGGGAAGAACAAGUGCCGUUUGAAUAAGGCGGCACCUUGACGGUACCUAACCAGAAAGCCACGGCUAACUACGUGCCAGCCGCCGCAGUAACAC